rnacentral:rRNA from 1 species
AUUGAACGCUGGCGGCAUGCUUUACACAUGCAAGUCGAGCGGCAGCGCGGGGGCAACCCUGGCGGCGAGCGGCGAACGGGUGAGUAAUGCAUCGGAACGUAUCCUCGAGUGGGGGAUAACCCAGCGAAAGUUGGGCUAAUACCGCAUGAGCUCUGAGGAGGAAAGCGGGGGACCUGCGAGGGCCUCGCGCUGGAGCAGCGGCCGAUGUCCGAUUAGCUAGUUGGUGGGGUAAAGGCUUACCAAGGCGACGAUCGGUAGCUGGUCUGAGAGGAUGAUCAGCCACACUGGGACUGAGGCACGGCCCAGACUCCUACGGGAGGCAGCAGUGGGGAAUUUUGGACAAUGGGGGCAACCCUGAUCCAGCCAUGCCGCGUGAGUGAAGAAGGCCUUCGGGUUGUAAAGCUCUUUCGGACGGAACGAAAUGGGCGGGACUAAUACUCCUGUCUGAUGACGGUACCGUAAGAAGAAGCACCGGCUAACUACGUG